UUUCCCCUUUUACAAACAUCAAAUAGAUACGCGCGCGUGUACGAUUAGUACAGAGAUACAAAUAUAUUUAUGUAUGGGUUUUAUGCGUAAAAUUCAAUACCUAUAUGUACGUGAUCUUUCUGCCAAGAGAUGGUUGAUCGGAAUAUACUAGGAAUUUAAACCCUAGCUUUAUUUAUUUCAAGUUUCAUUUCUAUAUCUCGAUCCAUGUUCAGACAUGCAGAUUCUGGCUGGAUUAGGCGGUAGAGGAAGUGAAGGCUGCAACAUUUUUCGAGGGAUUUGGAGUUUUUAGUAUAUCGGGAUUGGGGGCAAACGUGUGGUUAAUUUCUGUUCUUUAGCAUUGGAUUUUGGUGAGAUUAGGGCAUGGAUUUAGAUUGAGCUGGAUCAAUCAACUGAAUUUUAGCUUGAAUGUUAGAUUGACUUGGGUACGGUGUUGAAUAAGCUCAAUGAAUUGUGAGAGUUAGAGUUUAGGAAGAUCUAAAUUAGGUGUGUUAAAUUUGAGUUAUUCGUUCUGUUUGGUGUAUGCAUGGUUAAAUCAGUUUGCAGCGAGGUUAGAGAAAUCUGUACGAUUUAGAGUGUGGUGUUUGCUUUUGAGGGAAGUUAGAUUUCAUUGGGAGCUGCAGAAUGAGCUCACAAGAUGAGGAUAGAAGGUCCUUGGACAAGGAUCUUGAAACUCAUGACGAUGUUUCUACGAAACCAAAAAUAUCAUAUUCAAGAGAGUUUCUACUGUCGAUCAGCAAUUCGGAUAUCUGCAAGAAGUCGCCGAGCGGGUUUGAUGAAUCACUACGUAUAUGGGGAGAAGAACUGCUGAGACUACCCGAUCGAACAAGCAUUCCUGGGAGGUUGCCAUACCAAGGUUUCAGAAGAAAUGAGUAUUCCUCAUCACCUCCUACUCGGGGGGAUACUAAUACCUACUCUAGAGGCAUUUAUGGGAAAUGGGAUGGUCGUUAUUCUGCUCGGAGUGAUCGAGACAGCGAUUCUCAGUCUGACAAGGACUCAGAUUCUGGGAAACGUUUCGGAAAUCAUUCUCGACAUUCUUGGCAGACUCCUGAGCAUGAUGGGCUUCUUGGGAGCGGUUCAUUUCCAAGACCAUCUGGAUAUGCUGCUGGGAUCUCUGCUGCUAAGGUGCAACCAAAUGAGCAAACUCAACUAAGCAGAAGUGUUGAACCCUAUCAUCCUCCACGUCCUUACAAGGCAGUACCCCAUUCAAGAAAGGAUACUGACGCCUUCAAUGAUGAGACUUUUGGCUCAAUGGAGUCUACCAAUGAAGAUAGAGCAGAGCAGGAGAGAAGGCGAAGAGCCUCUUUUGAGAUGAUGAGAAAGGAACAGCAUAAGGUUCUACAGGAGAAACAAAAUUCUAAUUCGAGGAAUAGCAAAGUCGGUGAUGUCUUAAGCCUUUGUGAAGGCUUGGUAGAUAGCAAAGAGGACAAGGGGCUUUUUUCCAGGAAUAAUGAGUUAGAAAUUUCUGCUGUAAGCAAUGACUCGGAAAAAUCAUCUUUAUCCUCACAAGCUCCUGCCUCAAGACCGCUUGUUCCACCAGGAUUUAAAACCAAUCUCCUUGAAAAAAGCUCUGGCUUGAAAUCAUUGAUUCAUCCUUCUCUGUCAGAGGUGUCGACGUCUGUAACAACUGAGAGCACUACGGUUGCUGACCCGAACCUCAUUCAAAAUGCAAAUCAUGGUAUAGAGAGUUGUCUCACUGAAGAAAUCAGUGUAUUUGGCAGACAGCCCGCAGAGAAGACACAGCACACAAUCCUAUUGAAUAAGGGGGAACAUGUUAAUGGACAUGUUGGUUUAGACGGGCCAAAGCAAGCUGUCUUAGAAAAUCAAUUAUUCUGCAAUUUUAGUCCCUUACAGAUUCCUGGAACACCAGAUGAUCCCAAUUUUACAAAACUUAAUGAUGAUGGACUGGAGGAUAAAACCGUUCAUGAUUCUAGCAUAAGUCACUCAACAUCAAUUUUAGGAAAGAUUUUUGGUAGCACUUUAUCUACAAAAAGCGAUGGCCAUUCCAAUUCAGUUGAGCUUCACAAUAAUAAACCUGAUGAUACAUGGAGCCCAAAGACUGCCCACUCGUCAAAGUUUGCUCAAUGGUUUUCUGAGGAAGAAGCCAAGGUUGCUGCUGAUGUCUCAUCUGCAGGGCAAAACGAUUUACUGUCAUUAAUAGUCGGCAGUGAUAAAGCUGCAGCUAAUGGGAUAUCUGAUCAAGCAUGCAGUAACAACAAAGUGGAUACUGUUCCAGCUGUUCUUACAUGUGAAGACCUCGAACAAUCUAUCUUGUCAAAAUAUGAUCCAAAGCCUAUGAACACGCAGCCACACUUGAAAAGCUUUACCACUGCCGAAGGAGAUAUUGCACAGUCAAGCGGACAUGCUGAUAAUCACACAUCUCUACACCUGCUCUCAAUGUUGCAAAAGAGUUCAGAUCAGAUUAGUACAGUUGUAAACCCCAGUAAUAUCAAUUUGGCCAAUAAACAAUUAGUUUCUCAGGAAAAUGAUAGAACCACAGUGGUGACUGAGCCUAAAGAGGAAGAAAAUGGUAAUCUUGGGAAGACACUCACUCUGGAAGCUCUCUUUGGAACUGCUUUCAUGAAGGAGCUAGAGUCAGUUGGAGCCCCUGUUUCUGUCCAAGGAGGCUCAACUGGCUCUGCUCGAGUUGAUGCCCCAGGGCCUCAUGCAUUUCCUUUUCCAGUCAAAGACAAUGAUAUUUCUUCUUCAACAGUUGAACAUACCGGGCUUCAGAGACCAGUUCAUGAUUAUAAUGUCCCUUCAAACCGUAGACAGAUUGCAAAAUUGAAUGGGGCUGAUAAUUGGCUUGGCGUCGGUGAUUCGUCAAUUGGAAUUUCUUCACCAAAGCGUCAAACUGAAUCACUAAACAAACGUGAUGGAUUUGAAAGGAAUGCUGGAUAUCAACUGCCUGAAGAAGAAAACUUGAUUUCUGCAGGUGAUUCUCGCGAUCCCAGGUUGCUUCAAAUGAUGCCAGUUGGUAAUUCAAUUAACAGUGUAAACAGUUCUUCAACUACGCCUAUCAACAUAGCAGAGAAAUUGGCAGUUUUAGGUGGUAUUAUUAACGACAAGCAUAGCAUGGGAGGUUCAGAAGGCACACCCUUUCCACAUGGCUCACAUGAACAAAGGGGACCUGAUAUUUCUUAUUUAAAUCUCCAGUUGCAGCAGCAAUCAUCACAACAUUUUCAGCAUCCACGUAAUACCCAACCUAGGCCAUUGUAUCAUCACUUGGAUUCACAUCCUGCUAACAUGAGCUCACACCUGAAGUUCUUGAGUCCAGAACGAACUUCUGGUCACGAUUCUCCAGUCAAUUAUCAACCCUCUUCCCCUAUGAUUCGGCCGUCUUUCCAUCACAACCCCAACGUUAGGGUUUCUGGAUUUGACGUUCCUCCUCCACAACACCCACUGUUGCAUCAGAUGCAAAUGACAGGCAACCAUCCUCAGUUUGGGAGGGGUGGUCCAGUCCCUCAUCAUGGCAACCAACCAACUGGUUUUGUCCAGGAAAUGAAUCAAACGCAAGGUCUCCCCUUUGGGUCCCGCUUACCAAAUAUUGGCGGUAGUGUAGUGCCAAUGCCAGGCGGGACCCCUCCUGAGGUGUUCCAGAGGCUAAUAGAAAUGGAGCUCCGAGCAAAUUCGAAGCAGAUUCACCCUUUUGUCCCUCCUGGUCACAACCAAGGAAUAUACAGCCAUGAGCUAGACCUGGAGUCCAGAUACCGAUAGAAAAUACCUUCUCGUCUCUGUGAUAAGAUCAAGCAUAUCUCCCAGUGACUUGUUCUGUGGGAUGUAGAGUUUUAGCUUCAGUGUAAUUUCAGGGCCUCAAUCAGAUUAUGGGAGAACCAUGUAAAGGGGUUGUUUCCUGUCUUGGCGUGGAUAUAUGCAUGCAUGUUCAUCUGAAACCUCUCUCUCUGGUUUAGUAUCCUUAGCUGUUGAAAUUAGGCCAUGUUUAAAAGGGUAGAGACUUCUCAGGUUUGCUCAAUGUCAGUGUAUUUACAAAUCUCUCCCCAACUUUUAACAAAGCAGCGGCCUAAAUGCAGGCCUUUGCGCAAGCGCACACACGAGCUGUUAUGGGAAAACAUAUAUAGUAAAAGUUGCUAAUGUUGCAUGGGACCCCACGCCCUAAUGUAGGUCCGCCAGUGCGUCGAUGUGGACCAAACGAUCCGGCUCAUGCUUGUCGACCAGAGCCGAGGCAGAGGAUCAACUGCCAGGGGCAGAGCCUGCGCUGCGCAGCACGAGGGAGUGGAUCCAAUUGAGGUGGCGGAGCAGCAUGUUCUCAACGAGCGCUGAGCUGGUGAAGCAUUCCUUCUCGACCGCGGUAUCUUCGAUGCAGAUGAGUGUCACUACUAGCGGCAACGGUUGAGAUUGAAGAGCAGAGAGGUCCCUAAUUUUUAUGUUUCUUUUAUUGAAUUUUCAUCACCCCACUAAAAUUUGGUUAUAUUUUGUGUUACUUUAAUAAGGGUGAAACAUACAUUUUUUUACAA